GAGAAUGACACAUCUUAGACUCCCUGGUACCCUAGGCUUAAUGUUAGAUAGUCCUGAGGCUCAGUGACGCCGCUGUGAGAACUGCCAUGUGGACACAAGGGAUGCCCCUCCUACUCUCCGCUGCUCACAGGGACUCGGAUCCAGACAUUUGCUACUCUCUGCGGAUCCUGCCAUGGACUCCAGGCUCUUCUGCUAUGUGGCCCUUUGUCUCCUGGGGACAGACCACACCAAAGCUGGAGUCUCCCAGUCUCCCACUCACAGGAUCACCAAAAAGGGACAGAAUGUAUCUUUCAGGUGCGAUCCAAUUUCAGGUCACACCCGCCUUUACUGGUAUCGGCAGAGCUUGGGACAAGGCCCAGAGUUUCUGAUUUAUUUCCAGAAUGAAGUUGCACCAGACAAAUCAGGGUUGCCUGGUGAUCACUUCUCUGUAGAGAGGCCUAACGGGUCCUACUCUGUUCUGAAGAUCCAGCCCGUGAAGCAGAAGGACUCAGCGGUGUACCUCUGUGCCAGCAGCUUAGCCACAGCAGAGCACCAUCACCUGCUUCCUGCUCACAAACCUCAGACGCUCAGCCCUCCUCACCGCUGUCCUCAGCGCUGAACAAUGGCUUGGCUGGCUCCUCCCUCAAAGGGAGCAAAUGCACCUGAGUUUCGGGUUCUUCCAGCAGUGGGAGGUCAGGAAAUGGCCUUGGGGUUGUGAGACAGAUGAUGCUGAGUCCUCCUAAAUUUGGAUUAUCACCUCCUAGUAUUCCUGAGAUAUUGUAGAUGAGUAACUGUGAGUCAACAGCAGAGCCUCAUCUCAAGGAUAGUGAUACAUAGAUGUUUUCUUGCUAAGCUACAAAAUUGCAUUGUUUUGACAAACAAUCCCACCCUCAGUGACACUGACUCAGAACUACACUAUGCUAAGUAGUGGCCC